rnacentral:rRNA from 1 species
CACAUGAUCAACUUACCCUAUAGAGAAAAAUAACCUCGGGAAACUGAGGAUAAUGUUUCAUAAUUGAAUUGGCUUGGAAAAGUUUUUCAAUGAAAAGGAUAAAAAAAAUGGUUUUUAUCUGCUAUAGGAUAGGAUCGUGUUCGAUUAUGGUUGUUGGUGAGAUAAUGGCUCACCAAGCCGAUAAUCGAUAGGGGCCGUGAGAGCGGGAGCCCCGAGAUGGGUACUGAGACAACGACCCAGGCCUUACGAGGCGCAGCAGGCGCGGAACCUCCGCAAUACACGAAAGUGUGACGGGGUUACCCAAAGUGUUCAAUAGAACUGUGGUAGGUGAGUAAUGUCCCCUACUAGAGAGGAGAGGGCAAGGCUGGUGCCAGCCGCCGCGGUAAAACCAGCUCUUCAAGUGGUCGGGAUAAUUAUUGGGCUUAAAGUGUCCGUAGCCGGUUUAGUAAGUUCCUGGUAAAAUCGGGUAGCUUAACUAUCUGCAUGCUAGGAAUACUGCUAUACUAGAGGGCGGGAGAGGUCUGAGGUACUACAGG